UACAGAGGUCUCAAGCGUUGUUCGGAAUCACUGGGCGUAAAGCGUGCGUAGGCUGUUUCGUAAGUCGUGUGUGAAAGGCGCGGGCUCAACCCGCGGACGGCACAUGAUACUGCGAGACUAGAGUAAUGGAGGGGGAACCGGAAUUCUCGGUGUAGCAGUGAAAUGCGUAGAUAUUAGGAGGAACACCAGUGGCGAAGGCGGUCUGCUGGACAGCAACUGACGCUGAGGCGCGAAAGCGUGGGUAUCGAACAGG
rnacentral:rRNA from 1 species